rnacentral:rRNA from 1 species
AGUGAACGCUGGCGGUAGGCCUAACACAUGCAAGUCGAACGGCAGCACAGUAAGAGCUUGCUCUUACGGGUGGCGAGUGGCGGACGGGUGAGGAAUACAUCGGAAUCUACUUUUUCGUGGGGGAUAACGUAGGGAAACUUACGCUAAUACCGCAUACGACCUACGGGUGAAAGCAGUGGAUCUUCGGACCUUGCGCGAUUGAAUGAGCCGAUGUCGGAUUAGCUAGUUGGCGGGGUAAAGGCCCACCAAGGCGACGAUCCGUAGCUGGUCUGAGAGGAUGAUCAGCCACACUGGAACUGAGACACGGUCCAGACUCCUACGGGAGGCAGCAGUAGGGAAUAUUGGACAAUGGGCGCAAGCCUGAUCCAGCCAUACCGCGUGGGUGAAGAAGGCCUUCGGGUUGUAAAGCCCUUUUGUUGGGAAAGAAAAGCAGCAGGUUAAUACCCCGCUGUUCUGACGGUACCCAAAGAAUAAGCACCGGCUAACUUCGUG